AAGUGACCCUAUGUAGGGGGAACAGUCUCUAUUCUGCUCUUUGUCAGUGUGUAUCAGGGAUCCUUAGGAUAGGUGUCAAUCCAUAUCUGCCAAGUGACCCUAUGUAGGGGGACCAGUCCCUAUUCUGCUCUGUGUCCGUGUGCAUCAGGGGCUCUGAGGACAGGUGUCAAUCCAUAUGUCAAGGUGUCAAUAUGUCAUAUGUCAG